UUUCUUUACAUUUUAGAAUGGAAAUUCUUGAAGGACAGAACUUUUAUCUUACUGACUUUCAAAUACCAUGGUCUACAGCAUCAUACACUUCAUAGUGGACUUCUGACGGAGUCACAAACUUAUUCCAGCAAACUCAGUUUGAUAUAUUAAACAAUGAGCUUGGAUUUCUAAAAUUUUGGGGAAGCACAGCUUCAGGAAGUUCAUGAAACUAACCAGAUUCAUUAAGCCUAUCCCUGCCAGAGUAUGCAACAAAGACUGUGGAGAGUCAUUCUCAGACUAGCUAAGCUGCAAAGAAGAUUCUCAGACAAGUCAAGCUGCAAAGACUCUGAGACAACAUCAGCUGCUUGGAAGAAGCAGAAACCAACAGAGAUGCCUGGACAAAGUUUAGAUCAACUGAGUCACUUAGAAAGGACAGCCUUCAACCUCUUGAGCUUCCUGUAGCUGGGCAGAAUGCUCCAGGUUCCCAGGUUUGUGAGCUGCUACCUGGGUCAGAAUGAGAUUUCUACUGUAAGCAACUCCUCACCCGUGUUCCUGUAAGU